rnacentral:rRNA from 1 species
UACGGAGGAUGCGAGCGUUAUCCGGAUUUAUUGGGUUUAAAGGGUGCGUAGGCGGAUUAAUAAGUCAGCGGUGAAAACCUUCAGCUUAACUGGAGACUUGCCAUUGAUACUGUUAGUCUUGAGUACGGUCAAGGUAGGCGGAAUGUGUAAUGUAGCGGUGAAAUGCUUAGAUAUUACACAGAACACCGAUUGCGAAGGCAGCUUACUGGGCCAUUACUGACGCUGAUGCACGAAAGCGUGGGGAGCGAACAGG